GGGUGUUAGCCACAUGUUGUGGUGGGACAGGUUUGUGCGUUGGUCGGGCCGCCACG
rnacentral:ncRNA from 1 species